GUGAAUCAUCGAAUUUUUGAACGCAAAUUGCACUCUCUUCGGAGAGUAUGCCUGUUUGAGGGUCAGCCUAAAAAAAAAAUCGACAUAGUCGCUUUUUCGCGGUGACAUUCGUCGGAAAUUGGGUCAUUUUAAACUUUUGGUUUUUAAGCGGCUUAAAUUUUUUUUUACGUUUCCACGACGGUUUUUAAGAUUUCUUUUUUAUACUUUUAAGGC
rnacentral:misc_RNA from 1 species